AGCCGUCGCUGUGCCGGCUCCUGGUCAAGAUCCGCGAUCUGUGCCGCCUGCAAUUGAGAGAAAAGCAAGCCGCCCGUCCUGUCGCUAUUGUCUUUCAAGCACGCACGGAAGAUACGAUGCAGCUACAAAUUUGAGAGGAGACUUUGCUAUCCCACUCCUCUCUACACCGAAGAACGGAAGUCGGAUAGUCGCGAGGAGCACGAAGAAGAAGCGAGAAAUUAAAACUAUCACACUUUAUAAAUGAUUGAGGUUACCUAACCUCAAUCACGUAUCAGGAAUAUUUGCGAACACGCAUAUUCGCGCGCCGUUAUCUGGCCGUUUGGUUGGCUGGAUGUGACACAGCCGAAUUUCAAACAGCAUCAGCUAUGCCGACAUCUUGCCUUCUAGACGUCCAGUCGAAAGAAGCGAAAAAUCGUAAUCAUUCAUUCGUCGGACGAUUUGACUUGUUGGGGGAAAACUCUAGCAGCACAAUAUACUGGCGCAAUAUUGGGAAAUAAUGUAAAUCACCCUGGCUGAGGUAUCAGCCUCAGUGGUCGAAUUAG